rnacentral:rRNA from 1 species
AUUGAACGCUGGCGGCAGGCUUAACACAUGCAAGUUGUGCGGGCGAGGUUGCUUCGGUAACUGAGCUAGCGGCGGACGGGUGAGUAAUGCUUAGGAAUCUGCCUAUUAGUGGGGGACAACAUCUCGAAAGGGAUGCUAAUACCGCAUACGUCCUACGGGAGAAAGCAGGGGACCUUCGGGCCUUGCGCUAAUAGAUGAGCCUAAGUCGGAUUAGCUAGUUGGUGGGGUAAAGGCCUACCAAGGCGACGAUCUGUAGCGGGUCUGAGAGGAUGAUCCGCCACACUGGGACUGGAACACGGCCCAGACUCCUACGGGAGGCAGCAGUGGGGAAUAUUGGACAAUGGGGGGAACCCUGAUCCAGCCAUGCCGCGUGUGUGAAGAAGGCCUUUUGGUUGUAAAGCACUUUAAGCGAGGAGGAGGCUACCGAGAUUAAUACUCUUGGAUAGUGGACGUUACUCGCAGAAUAAGCACCGGCUAACUCUGUGCCAGCCGCCGCGGUAAGAC